UAGAGCGCUUGCCUAGGAAGCGCAAGGCCCUGGGUUCGGUCCCCAGCUCUGGAAAAAAAAAAAAAAAAGAAACCCAGUGUCCACACUAUGUUUGCAACAUCUUUAAGAUAAAGAGUGGGGACAUGAUCUGGAAGUGUAAAAUAUAGGGUUCACUAAGGAGAGGCUGUGUUUCUUAACUAGUGAAUGAUUUUAACAUUCAUCUAAAAUAGGCGGGGAGGGGUUUCCUGGGCCCGGGAGACAGAUAAGGAAACUGAGGCUCUCAGAGCAACUGCCUCCGGCUACUAAACAAGGAAAUGGAAAUUGUUUUCAUUGUUUAUGUUGAAUGCAUCCUGCCAGGAUGUGGCAACGUGAGGCAAAGGCCUCAUCCAAAGAGAUAAAAUCCUGGAGGAUGGAGAGUGCUGGGGGAGGGGCCUCAGGCCGCAAGAUGAAGAUGAAGAGGGGCCAGAGAUUAGGUCAUGGGCGAAGGCUACAGAGAGUGGGUUUUAUGACUUGGUUUUGAGCUGUAAAAAGAACGUAUGAGAAGGGCAGCCUCUUCAGACACAGCUCUGGAAGCAUGCAAAGGCAUCCUGGAGAAGGAAGUUUGUAUGCGGGAGCCACUUGCUCAUCCAGGAGCUAUGAGAGAUGUGCAGCGCAGACCUGGACUAAACCUACAGCCUGCAGCCAAGAUCUAAGAGGCCAGCCCAGCUCCUUGGACCCCAGUUGGCCAGACAGUUCAGCAUCAUACGUUACCUUUAGUCAUCGUCGUUCUUUGGUCUCCUUCAGUUUCAAACCGUUCUGGACUGUUCUGCAGCCUGCAAGAGUCUGGCUCCUUUGACCAUGGAAGGCCGGUCAGCUAGAGAGGGGUAAAUGGCCCAAGACGUCUUUUCCAGGUAAGCAAGAUUUUGUUGUCUUCUCUAGCUCAUUUUGGAGUCCUCCCAACCCAUGCUCUCCUUUCUGUUUUGAGGUUGACUUAAGUCAACACAACCUAUGUGGUACUGCGUUUGAGA